AGAGCGGACGCUGGCGGCAGGCUUAACACAUGCAAGUCGAGCGGGCGUAGCAAUACGUCAGCGGCAGACGGGUGAGUAACGCGUGGGAACGUACCUUUUGGUUCGGAACAACCCAGGGAAACUUGGGCUAAUACCGGAUAAGCCCUUACGGGGAAAGAUUUAUCGCCGAAAGAUCGGCCCGCGUCUGAUUAGCUAGUUGGUGAGGUAAUGGCUCACCAAGGCGACGAUCAGUAGCUGGUCUGAGAGGAUGAUCAGCCACAUUGGGACUGAGACACGGCCCAAACUCCUACGGGAGGCAGCAGUGGGGAAUAUUGGACAAUGGGCGCAAGCCUGAUCCAGCCAUGCCGCGUGAGUGAUGAAGGCCCUAGGGUUGUAAAGCUCUUUUGUGCGGGAAGAUAAUGACGGUACCGCAAGAAUAAGCCCCGGCUAACUUCGCGCCAGCAGCCGC
rnacentral:rRNA from 1 species